rnacentral:rRNA from 1 species
UUGAACGCUGGCGGCAGGCCUAACACAUGCAAGUCGAGCGGAUGAGUGGAGCUUGCUCCAUGAUUCAGCGGCGGACGGGUGAGUAAUACAUCGGAACGUGCCCGAUCGUGGGGGAUAACGGAGCGAAAGCUUUGCUAAUACCGCAUACGAUCUACGGAUGAAAGCAGGGGACCGCAAGGCCUUGCGCGGACGGAGCGGCCGAUGGCAGAUUAGGUAGUUGGUGAGGUAAUGGCUCACCAAGGCGACGAUCCGUAACUGGUCUGAGAGGAUGAUCAGUCACACUGGAACUGAGACACGGUCCAGACUCCUACGGGAGGCAGCAGUGGGGAAUAUUGGACAAUGGGCGAAAGCCUGAUCCAGCCAUGCCGCGUGUGUGAAGAAGGUCUUCGGAU